rnacentral:rRNA from 1 species
AUUGAACGCUGGCGGCAUGCCUUACACAUGCAAGUCGAACGGUAACAGGUCUUCGGAUGCUGACGAGUGGCGAACGGGUGAGUAAUACAUCGGAACGUGCCCGAGAGUGGGGGAUAACGAAGCGAAAGCUUUGCUAAUACCGCAUACGAUCUCAGGAUGAAAGCAGGGGACCGCACGGCCUUGCGCUCACGGAGCGGCCGAUGGCAGAUUAGGUAGUUGGUGGGAUAAAAGCUUACCAAGCCGACGAUCUGUAGCUGGUCUGAGAGGACGACCAGCCACACUGGGACUGAGACACGGCCCAGACUCCUACGGGAGGCAGCAGUGGGGAAUUUUGGACAAUGGGCGCAAGCCUGAUCCAGCCAUGCCGCGUGCAGGAUGAAGGCCUUCGGGUUGUAAACUGCUUUUGUACGGAACGAAAAGACUCUGGUUAAUACCUGGGGUCCAUGACGGUACCGUAAGAAUAAGCACCGGCUAACUACGUGCCAGCAGCCGCUGUAACAC